ACUGAGUGCAGUGGUGCGUGCCUGUAGUCCCCGCUAUUCAGGAGGCUGAAGUGGAAGGAUCGCUCAAGUCUAGGAAUUCUGACCUGUAGUGCACUAUGCUGAUCUGGUGUCCACACUAAGUUUGGCAUUAAUAUGGUGACCUCCGGGAGCAGGGGACUACCAGGUUACCUAAGGAAGGUUGAGCCAGCCCAGGUCAGAAAUGAAGCAGGUCAGAAUGUCCAUGCUGAUGAGUAGUGGGAUCAUACCUGUGAAUACACUGCACUCCAGCCUGGGCAACAUAGUGAGACCUUGUCUCUU
rfam:Nomascus leucogenys chromosome 10, whole genome shotgun sequence.